rnacentral:rRNA from 1 species
GACGAACGCUGGCGGCGUGCUUAACACAUGCAAGUCGAACGAUGAAACCUAGCUUGCUAGGUCGAUUAGAGGCGAACGGGUGAGUAACACGUGACUAUCCUGCCCCUUUCUCUGGGAUAACGCUCCGAAAGGAGUGCUACUACCGGACACUCACACCUAGGCACCUGCCGUGGUGUGGAAAGCUUUUCGGAAAGGGAUGGAGUCGCGGCCUAGCAGCGUGUCGGUGAGGUAACGGCUCACCAACGGGACGACGGGUAGCCGGGCUGAGAGGGCGACCAGCCACACUGGGACUGAGACACGGCCCAGACUCCUACGGGAGGCAGCAGUGGGGAAUAUUGCACAAGGGGCGCAAGCCUGAUGCAGCGACGCCGCGUGAGGGAUGAAGGUCUUCGGAUUGUAAACCUCUUUCAGUAGGGACGAAGCGAAAGUGACGGUACCUAAAGAAGAAGCACCGGCUAACUACGUGCCAGCCGCCGCGGUAA